rnacentral:rRNA from 1 species
GGAAUCUUGCGCAAUGGGCGAAAGCCUGACGCAGCCAUGCCGCGUGAAUGAUGAAGGUCUUAGGAUUGUAAAAUUCUUUCACCGGGGAAGAUAAUGACGGUACCCGUAGAAGAAGCCCCGGCUAACUUCGUGCCAGCAGCCGCGGUAAUACGAAGGGGGCUAGCGUUGCUCGGAAUUACUGGGCGUAAAGGGCGCGUAGGCGGACAUUUAAGUUAGAGGUGAAAGCCCAGGGCUCAACCCUGGAAUAGCCUUUAAUACUGGAUGUCUUGAGUUCGGGAGAGGUGAGUGGAAUGCCGAGUGUAGAGGUGAAAUUCGUAGAUAUUCGGCGGAACACCAGUGGCGAAGGCGACUCACUGGCCCGAUACUGACGCUGAGGCGCGAAAGCGUGGGGAGCAAACAG